ensembl:lncRNA
AAAACAAAGUCUUAGAUUGAUACUUGAACUUUGUCGUAAGAUCAUUUGACGGUGUGCUUACAUUCGAUUCAUAAAAGAUACUGAGUAUAAACUACCUUGCUUACGCAGGUUCUAAGAAGCCAUUUGUAAUUUACGCACCUGUGAUCUAUAAACCUCAAAUUGACUUAGAAUUGAUGGCACCUGAACGUGCCUUACAAUCAGCGAUUCCCCCUUAUAGAAUGCUCGCACAAAUGAGGGUUUAGUCAGGAAUAGUCAUGGACCAAAAGAGAAAAGCUAACCUUUUGGUCUUCGCGAUCACGGCUGUGGUAGGAGAUUGAAGACGGGCAACACGUAUUAUUCGGUGAACUUAAUAGUGGGUUGACGAAGCCAAACGGGUAUCUUGGGAGUGUGUCGCCGCUGCAGUGAACGAGGUGGGGCAGCAAGACAGAACUGUGGCUGAUGUGAAAGAGAAAUGGUCUGACCUUAAACUGCAAGGGGGGAAAUAUAAUAGCCAUAACCGCAGCAUUAAGGCAACGGGAGGGGGGGCCUGGCACCCCGGAGCUCUCCCAAAUGGACCAGUGCAUCGGGGCACUCAUUGGUUAAAGCGCAUACACUCGCACAUACCCCGAUGGCGACAGUAAAUGUGUUUUUUUUUAAAGGUGUUUCUUCUAUUUGAGCUCUUCUGCUUUAUUUUUCAUAUGGUUUAAUCCCAACUUUUACAUCGUUUAGCAGUAACGUCGGGACGCGAAUCCCCUACGACUGCAUCUGUAAUGUCUGCUUCCAACUCUCAAACAUGUAGAUCCCCAGAACGCAGCUCACUUUCCAGAUCACCUGAAUUCUGAUCACCUGUUCACACACCUGUAUGUCAUUAUCACACACUAUUUAGUUCAGUUCUUUGUCCCAUAGUGCGGUAUUAUUUGUUUUGUGACACUUCUAUUCGGAGUUCUGUUUGUCCCCGUAAUCUAAAGCCUCCCGAGUAUGAUAGUGAAGCAGGCAGAAACUAACGACGCAUUUUGCCUAGUCCCUGCCUGUACUUUCGGAUAUACUGUUAACCUGUUGCCUGAUCUCCCAGACGAUGUUACUAGCCUUUUCCCUGCUUGUACUGUUGCCUUUUUGGACCCCUGUGUAUGGCCUGCCUGCCCCUAGACCCAGCUACCUGCCUCCUCCUGUGGUCCUUUACAAAAACACCUGCUGCGCCCUGCGCUUGAAACCAGCUGUCUCCCAUCGUGUUCAUUACAGCAUCACUGGAUAACGAAAUGGAGGAAGCUGUGUUGCAGCCCGUGUCUCGUUUGAGGGUGGCCCCUCCACCAAGGGAGAAAGUGCGUGAGGCUCCCAAAUCAGCAGGUGCUAAAUGUUUGGCCACACGUGUGCCGGUUCCCAAUCCGUGAGGCCCCGGUUCCCAAGCAUCGCAGACUCGCAGAUGCCAUGAGUGAGGGAAUGUUUUGCCACAGGGGUUGAGGGUCUGUCCACGUCUACAGUUUGUGUUGACCACCUCAGUCCUGCAAACCCAGAAAGUGUUGAAUGCAUUGGUUGGGCAGAUUGUGACUGAAGUUGGAAGAAUAUACAGGGUUUUACUUCAUUUACAUAAUGCAAUUGAUGAAUGUUUUCCACUAUGUUAAUAAAAAAAC